rnacentral:rRNA from 1 species
AGUGAACGCUGGCGGUAGGCCUAACACAUGCAAGUCGAACGGCAGCACAGUAAGAGCUUGCUCUUACGGGUGGCGAGUGGCGGACGGGUGAGGAAUACAUCGGAAUCUACUUUUUCGUGGGGGAUAAGGAGGGAAACUUACGCUAAUACCGCAUACGACCUACGGGUGAAAGCAGGGGAUCUUCGGACCUUGCGCGGUUGAAUGAGCCGAUGUCGGAUUAGCUAGUUGGCGGGGUAAAGGCCCACCAAGGCGACGAUCCGUAGCUGGUCUGAGAGGAUGAUCAGCCACACUGGAACUGAGACACGGUCCAGACUCCUACGGGAGGCAGCAGUGGGGAAUAUUGGACAAUGGGCGCAAGCCUGAUCCAGCCAUACCGCGUGGGUGAAGAAGGCCUUCGGGUUGUAAAGCCCUUUUGUUGGGAAAGAAAAGCAGCAGGUUAAUACCCCGCUGUUCUGACGGUACCCAAAGAAUAAGCACCGGCUAACUUCGUG